CAGAGCUCUCAGUGCAGAGGGUCUGGAUCACACCAUCAAGUAAGCUACUUAGGACAGCAAAAUGCUCAGAGUGAAGGCAAUUCAGAAUGGAGAUCAGAGGGAGAUGACAAGGAAAUGGAAAUCCAGAGGGAUGAAGCGACCGGCCUCUGGUCUCUUAGGUGUUAGUGGACAGGAUUCCAACAUAACACAGGUUAUCAAAGUUAAAAAAGCAACUAAGAGAAUGAAAGAAUAUACAUUCAACUGACAUAUCAGAUAAAGGGCUAGUACCCAAGAUCUAUAAAGAACUUAU